GUGUGCGUCACGGGUCAAUAUGGAAUUUUUCGAAGACAAUUUAAUAGAAUUAGUUCGCAACUAUCCUUUUUUUCUUUAUAUAAAAAUAAAGACAAAAAACAUAAAAGUUUGAUAGUUAAAGAAAAUUGCUGGAGGGAGAUAGCUGAGAAGUUGAAUAAAACACGUCUACCUUGGUAGCUGCGGCAAAAUCAACUGACCACCACCACCGCAGGGACGCUAAAUGCUGCGUCGUGACGCUGCGUUGCGGCGCAUACCGCAGCGUUGUGCAUCACGAUCACCAGACCAAAGCUUAAGCGAGUAUUAACUUCGAUUUAAUAAUGUUAUUAAUAAUCAUGGAGUAACCUUGGACAAACAAUACAUUCCUUACUCUGGGAUUAACACUUGCGUUAUGGCAACCCACUUUUUUUAAAAGUAAAAAGAAUGAGUCAAUGAAUGAAAUUGUGACAAUAAUGACAGUGACAGACAAUAUUUAGACUGUGGAUCUAUCUCUAUGCUGUGGACAAUAUUUUGAAUUUGACAAAUGACAAUUUAGGAGUUGGGACGCGGUUUUCAGUUUCCACUUUCCAGUUUUCACUUUUCUGGCUUUGCUGCGUUGAUAAAUAGUUUAUUUCGUUGAGUUUAUUUUUAAUACAAAAUAAGUUUCAAGUUUUGUAGAAAUCGUUUUAUAUUUGUUUGUUUAAUAUAUUUUUAUAUGUUUUAUAAACAAAAACGCUGUCGCUCCCUCAACUGGGAUGAAGAAGAAAAGCUUUUAUUUCGCAGAGUGGUUAAAGACUACGCACACAUAAUUGAAAACAAGUCCCUGGACAAUAAUACCAACAAAAAAAAACUGAAGCGUGGGACGAAAUCCACAAAAAGUAAGUAUGCUUGGUAUUCUACUUUUAAUUGAAUAUGUUGCAGAAUUUCAGCAUAAUUCUCCACAUUUAUAAAGCAAAAAUUCAUUUUAAUAUUAAUAUCAUCCCUUAUUUCAUUUUCUGUACUAGGUUUAAUGAAUUAAAUGGAAGACAGCGGCAAUUAAGUCAACUGAAAAUUCAGUGGAAGACGAUGAAGA